ACUCCUACGGGAGGCAGCAGUGGGGAAUAUUGCACAAUGGGGGAAACCCUGAUGCAGCCAUGCCGCGUGUGUGAAGAAGGCCUUGGGUUGUAAAGCACUUUCAGUAGGGAGGAAGGUAGUGUAGUUAACACCUGCAUUAUUUGUACGUUACCUACAGAAGAAGCACCGGCUAACUCCGUGCCAGCAGCCGCGGUAAUACGGAGGGUGCGAGCGUUAAUCGGAAUUACUGGGCGUAAAGCGCAUGCAGGCGGCCUGUUAAGUCAGAUGUGAAAGCCCGGGGUCUUAACCUCGGAAUUGCAUUUGAAACUGGCAGGCUAGAGUCUGUAGAGGGGUUAGAAUUUCAGGUGUAGCGGUGAAAUGCGUAGAGAUCUGAAGG
rnacentral:rRNA from 1 species